rnacentral:rRNA from 1 species
AUGGACGCGGAGCUCCUGGAGCUGCAGCGGCAGCUGGAGGCGGCGCAGAGCGCGCGGUCGAGCGUGCGGCUGUCGGAGCGCAACGUGGUGGAGCUCGUGCAGAAGCUGCAGGAGCGCGGCCUCAUCGACUUCGAGCUCCUCCACACCGUCUCCGGCAAGGAGUACAUCACAUCCGACCAUUUGAAGCAUGAGAUUAAGGUGGAGAUCAAGAAGCGAGGGCGCGCAUCACUAGUCGAUUUAUCAGAUACCCUGGGGGUGGAUCUUUACCAUAUUGAGAGGCAGGCACAAAAGGUCGUCACGGAGGAUCCGGCCCUGAUGUUGAUCAACGGGGAGAUCAUGUCACAGUCUUACUGGGACACUGUGACGGAAGAGAUAAAUGAGAAGUUGCAAGAGCGCAGCCAGAUUGCCUUGGCUGAGAUUGCUGCACAGUUACACAUUGGCUCAGAGCUAGUCCUCAAUAUUCUCGAGCCUCGGCUUGGAACUAUUGUGCAAGGAAGGCUAGAAGGUGGCCAGCUAUACACUCCAGCAUACGUCUCACGAAUUACUGCCAUGGUCCGUGGUGCGACAAGAGGUUUAACAGUUCCGACAAACUUGCCAUCUGUCUGGAACUCCUUGCAGCAACAGCUCCAAGAAAUGCACGGUGCUAAUGGAGUUUCAGUGGAAGGUUCAUUCUUCCAGUCCAUUUUUGUUGCCUUGCUAAAAGAAGGUGCUGUACUUGGGUCUGUCCGUGCCGGAGUACAUUGGACACCAGCUGUAUUUGCUCAUGCUCAAAAGGAAAGCGUUGAUGCAUUUUUUUCACAGAACUCUUAUAUUGGGUACGAAGUGCUUCAGAAACUCGCAAUUCCCCAGCCUAAACAGUACUUAGAGGCCAGAUAUCCAGAUGGCAUUGCACUGGAGGCUGUUUUUGUACAUCCUUCUGUUGUCGAUAUGCUAGAUGCUGCUGUGGGUGACGCAAUCGAGAACGGACAAUGGAUUGAUUCUCUUUCGAUCCUUCCAUCAUAUAUCAGUGGCCCUGAUGCAACCAAGAUAUUGUCUCUUUGUCCAUCUUUUCAGAAGGCAGCCAAGUCUUCAAAAGCAGUGCUUUUUGGAGAAUCAUGUGUCUUCAGCAAUGUGUUCAUUAAGGGUAUUUUUGAUCAACUUGAGAAAGAGAUUGACUCCUUUGGUAUCAAACAUAGUGCUGGUGGUCAAGGAACUCCCGUGAAUAUGAAUUCAAGUAGUGAGCAUAGGGCAGGAUCUGUCCAGCACUCGGACACAAAAGACUUUGGUGAUAAUGACGCCAGCGGUACAGGUGCUUCAUCGGACAGAGGACCAAAGAAGAAACGAGGAAAAGCGACGGGGUCUGCCAAAGGCGGAGCAGUUGAGAAGGAUGAUGAUGAAGAAAUCAUCCCUGUAAAGGGCAAGAAAGCUCAUAGGAAAAACAAGGACGCUGGUUCUUCAGGUGAUGCAAAGCGCGGUGGUAAAAAGGCACCAGAGAAACCAAAAGAGGAGAACACAAAUAUCUUCCCCGAUGAGUUGAUAGAGCAAAAGGUUUUGGCUGUUGCUCCGGAGUUAGAAGAGUUGGGAGGCUCAGACGACUUAAAUGGCCCUAUUAAAUUAUUGUCCUCUCACCUGAGGCCAAUGCUUAUUGAUGCAUGGAAGAAGAAAAGGAACACCAUGCUGUCAGAAAAUGCUGAAAGGAGGCGAAGUGUACUUGAUAAUCUGCAAAAGCAGCUAGAUGAGGCUGUCCUCGAUAUGCAACUCUAUGAAAAAGCUCUAGAUGUGUUUGAGGAUGAUCCUGCUACCUCUGGCAUAUUACACAAGCAUCUGCUAAGAACUAUGGGUACUCCAAUAGUCGACAAGAUUUUAUCUAGUCUGGAUAGGGACAACAAAUUGAAGAAUGGAAUGGAGUAUGAAGACAGUGAAGAACAGCAUGCUCAGCUGAGCACUACUGACCGCACUUUUCUGGCAAAGGAUCUUCCAGGGCAAUUGUCAUCGAAGGCUCAAGCUUUAGUUGAAGCACUGGAGGGAAAGCGGUUUGACUCAUUUAUGGACGCCUUAAGAGAUACAGCAGAGGAAAGUGGCUUGUUAUUUAAGAAGCUUGAUAAAAGACUUGAGCGAUCAAUGCUGCAUUCCUACCGCAAGGAUUUGAUAGCACAAGUUUCUUCAGAGACUGAUCCAGUUUCCUUCCUCCCAAAAGUCGUUGCUCUACUUUUUCUCCAGGCACACAACAAGGGUCUUCAGGCACCUGGAAGGGCUGUUGGUGCUGUCAUCACACUACUGAAGGACAAGCUACCAGCUUCAACCUUCAAGGUUUUAACUGAAUAUCACGCCACUACCGUGAAAGUUCUUGCACUACAAGCUGCUGCCACGGGUGAUGAUGAUGAUUGUGCAUCGGACCGGAUGCUGGAGAAGAAGGAAGACCUAGAAGAGAGGCUGAUGCCAGAACUGAAAUCCCUGGCCCUCGGCACGACCAAAGAGUGA